GGUGAUCAAAGUAGGCCUGAAAAUUUUGCUCGGUUUUCACAACGGUCAUUUUGCCACCAUACCGAAGAAGCCGUGGCCGAAUUGAAAAAAUGCUCGUCACGGAUUCAAAGGUGCUAGCGGUCUUCUCCAGAAAUGUACCAGAAAUGGCACCAGAGCGCUUUCACAGAAGCGUUCUUCGCGGGAGUUUGGUUUUGAUUGGAACAGCCUUUGGUUUAAACAUUGCACUUAACCAGCCUUCCAUGUAGGUGCUCCAUUAUUGCCUCUAGCCCCAGGUCACCAAAGCACUGGGUCGGGUGGAAUUCCAGUACCCGGACUGAAGGAGAAGGUAGGAGAUACGAGAUGGUAGGAGAUAAGAGCGUCCAGGCAGAUUGUGCGUUUUCAAUUUUUGCGAAAAAUUGUGCGUUUUCAAGUGUAAUGUUCGUG